rnacentral:rRNA from 1 species
GCUCAGANUACCUAGGNGNAGCCUGUUCUAUAACCGAUAAUCCCCGUUGAACCUCACCACUUCUUGUUUAUCCAGCCUAUAUACCGCCGUCGCCAGCUUACCUCAUGAGAGCCCAAAAGUAAGCCAAACGAGUAAUACUCAACACGUCAGGUCGAGGUGUAGCAAAUGAAGUGGGAAGAAAUGGGCUACAUUUUCUGACC